rnacentral:rRNA from 1 species
AAAUUGAAGAGUUUGAUCAUGGCUCAGAUUGAACGCUGGCGGCAGGCCUAACACAUGCAAGUCGAACGGUAGCACAGAGAGCUUGCUCUCGGGUGACGAGUGGCGGACGGGUGAGUAAUGUCUGGGAAACUGCCUGAUGGAGGGGGAUAACUACUGGAAACGGUGGCUAAUACCGCA